GAGCAGUCAGUAAGCCAUGGGGGAUAAGAUAUGGAUAUGACAUUGAUAACCACAAUAUAUAAUUGCGAAUUGAUUAUGAAGACGACAUACUGAUGGAACAGUUGUGUUUUCAUGGGUUGGAGGGGAAGAAGAGGAGUGCAAAUUCUAUGAUCAGUUUGUGCAAAUAUUUGGGAACAAGUGUCUAUCCUGUGAUUCUCUGGCUGAGAAAUCGAACGGUGCCACAGACAUGCGAGAGGUCCCAGGUGGACAAGUACAAGGAACAGAAUCCAGAGGACAGAUCACUGUCACUGAAAGCUGUUCUCCCAGGACAGACAGUCUCUCUGAACUGUAAAACCAGCAGUAAUGUGCAUACAAAUAACCAUAUUUUCUGGUAUCAACAUAAACCUGGAGAAGCUCCUAAACUCCAAAUAUCUUGGGCUAAAUUCCUUCAGUCUGGGACUCCAUCUAGAUUCAGUGGCAGUGGAUCUGGGAGUAACUUCACUCUGACCAUCAGUGGAGUCCAGGCUGAAGAUGCAGGAGAUUACUACUGUCAGAGUGACCACACAGGUGCAGUGUUCACACAGUGAUACAGAGCCGUACAAAAACCUCCCUCAGUCAGACUGCACAGUGACUAUACUGCUACCGCUGGGAUGUACUGUAGAGGAGAUCAACUCUGGCAUUUGACAAUGUGAUUAGAAAGCGAUAAUUCAGACAAAAUGUUCUCUGUUAUCAUAAUCAUUAUCAUCAGUAUCCUGAUUAAAUUACAGAUGAUUAUUGCCAUAUUGUCAUGACACCUCAGUGUAAAUAUGAGAAGUAACCCCACAGAGUCGCAGAAGUCCAAAAAAUGUGAAACAUUUCAGCCUCCACUUCCCCCCCAUGUAUGAAAGAAAAAGAUGUGGAGCUCAGACAUUAGACUCAUGUCAGUAACUGUCAAUGCCUGUCGUUAGUAAUACUGUCACACCCUGACCAUAAAGAGCCUUUGUUUCUCUAUGGUGUAGUAGGUCAGGUUGUGACUGGGGGUAUUCUAGUUAAUUAU